rnacentral:sRNA from 1 species
CUCCGAGCGAGGCGGCAAGAUGGACGCGGGAUUUUUCCGCGGAACAAGUGCAGAACAGGAUAAUCGGUUCAGCAACAAACAGAAGAAACUACUGAAGCAGCUGAAAUUUGCAGAAUGCCUAGAAAAAAAGGUGGACAUGAGCAAAGUAAAUUUGGAGGUUAUAAAGCCUUGGAUAACAAAAAGAGUAACGGAAAUCCUUGGGUUUGAAGAUGAUGUUGUGAUUGAGUUUAUAUUCAACCAGCUGGAAGUGAAGAAUCCAGACUCCAAAAUGAUGCAAAUCAACCUGACUGGAUUUUUGAAUGGAAAAAAUGCUCGAGAAUUUAUGGGAGAACUGUGGCCCCUGCUGCUAAGUGCACAAGAAAACAUCGCGGGAAUCCCUUCUGCUUUCCUAGAACUGAAGAAAGAAGAAAUAAAACAAAGACAGAUUGAACAAGAAAAAUUGGCAUCUAUGAAAAAGCAAGAUGAAGACAAAGAUAAAAGAGAUAAGGAAGAAAAAGAAAGCAGCAGAGAAAAAAGGGAGAGGUCUCGUAGCCCAAGAAGACGCAAAUCCAGAUCUCCUUCCCCUAGAAGACGAUCUUCCCCUGUCAGGAGAGAGAGAAAGCGCAGUCAUUCUCGAUCUCCCCGUCACAGAACCAAGAGCCGGAGUCCUUCCCCUGCUCCAGAAAAGAAGGAAAAAACUCCAGAGCUCCCAGAACCUUCAGUGAAAGUAAAAGAACCUUCAGUACAAGAGGCUACUUCUACUAGUGACAUUCUGAAAGUUCCCAAACCUGAACCUAUACCGGAGCCUAAAGAACCUUCUCCAGAAAAAAAUUCCAAAAAAGAAAAGGAGAAGGAGAAGACCCGACCACGAUCUCGGUCACGCUCCAAAUCAAGAUCCCGGACGCGGUCCCGCUCUCCUUCUCACACUCGACCUAGACGGCGCCAUAGAUCCCGAUCAAGAUCGUAUUCACCUAGAAGGCGGCCAAGCCCAAGAAGGCGGCCAUCUCCUCGAAGAAGAACUCCACCAAGAAGAAUGCCUCCUCCACCAAGGCAUAGAAGGAGUAGAUCGCCAGUGAGACGAAGAAGACGUUCGUCAGCAUCCUUGUCUGGGAGUAGCUCAUCAUCCUCUUCAUCUCGUUCACGGUCACCACCAAAGAAGCCUCCCAAGAGGACAUCCAGCCCCCCUCGGAAAACUCGUAGGUUAUCUCCUUCAGCAAGUCCUCCAAGGCGAAGGCACAGGCCAUCACCUCCUGCAACUCCACCACCCAAAACUCGGCAUUCCCCAACACCCCAGCAGUCAAACCGUACAAGAAAAAGUCGUGUUUCUGUGUCUCCAGGGAGAACUUCAGGUAAAGUGACAAAACAUAAAGGUACUGAGAAAAGAGAAUCCCCUUCACCAGCACCGAAGCCUAGAAAAGUAGAGUUAUCUGAAUCGGAAGAAGAUAAAGGUGGCAAAAUGGCUGCAGCAGAUUCUGUGCAGCAGAGACGCCAAUACAGACGACAAAACCAGCAGUCUUCAUCUGACUCUGGCUCCUCCUCCUCCUCAGAAGAUGAACGACCCAAGAGAUCCCAUGUGAAGAAUGGUGAGGUUGGCAGGCGGCGGAGACAUUCCCCUUCCCGGAGUGCUUCUCCAUCACCACGAAAGCGCCAAAAAGAGACUUCCCCUCGGAUGCAGAUGGGAAAGCGAUGGCAAUCGCCAGUGACUAAAAGUGGUAGACGGAGGAGAAGUCCAUCCCCACCACCCACCAGAAGGCGACGGUCUCCUUCUCCCGCCCCUCCUCCUCGGCGGCGCAGGACUCCCACACCACCACCACGACGAAGGACUCCUUCUCCUCCCCCACGUCGGCGCUCACCUUCUCCUAGAAGAUACUCUCCUCCAAUACAGAGGAGAUACUCUCCUUCUCCACCUCCAAAGAGAAGAACAGCUUCACCUCCUCCCCCUCCUAAACGAAGAGCAUCACCAUCUCCACCACCAAAGCGGCGGGUCUCCCAUUCUCCACCUCCCAAACAAAGAAGCUCCCCAGUCACCAAGAGACGUUCACCUUCACUAUCAUCCAAGCAUAGGAAAGGGUCUUCCCCAAGCCGCUCUACCCGGGAGGCCCGAUCACCACAACCAAACAAACGGCAUUCGCCCUCACCACGGCCUCGAGCUCCUCAGACCUCAAGUCCUCCACCCGUUCGAAGAGGAGCGUCAUCAUCACCCCAAAGAAGGCAGUCCCCGUCUCCAAGUACUAGGCCCAUUAGGAGAGUCUCCAGGACUCCGGAACCUAAAAAGAUAAAAAAGGCUGCUUCCCCAAGCCCACAGUCUGUAAGGAGGGUCUCAUCCUCCCGAUCUGUCUCCGGGUCUCCUGAGCCAGCAGCUAAAAAGCCCCCAGCACCUCCGUCCCCCGUCCAGUCUCAGUCACCGUCUACAAACUGGUCACCAGCUGUACCGGUCAAAAAGGCCAAAAGCCCAACACCGAGCCCAUCACCGCCAAGAAAUUCAGAUCAAGAAGGAGGUGGAAAGAAAAAGAAGAAAAAGAAGGACAAGAAACACAAAAAGGAUAAGAAGCACAAGAAGCACAAAAAACACAAGAAGGAAAAGGCUGUGGCUGCAGCUGCUGCAGCUGCUGUGACCCCUGCAGCCAUUGCAGCUGCCACAACCACAUUAGCACAGGAAGAGCCAGUGGCAGCGCCAGAGCCGAAGAAG